rnacentral:rRNA from 1 species
GGUUAAGCGACUAAGCGUACACGGUGGAUGCCCUGGCAGUCAGAGGCGAUGAAGGACGUGCUAAUCUGCGAUAAGCGUCGGUAAGGUGAUAUGAACCGUUAUAACCGGCGAUUUCCGAAUGGGGAAACCCAGUGUGUUUCGACACACUAUCAUUAACUGAAUCCAUAGGUUAAUGAGGCGAACCGGGGGAACUGAAACAUCUAAGUACCCCGAGGAAAAGAAAUCAACCGAGAUUCCCCCAGUAGCGGCGAGCGAACGGGGAGCAGCCCAGAGCCUGAAUCAGUGUGUGUGUUAGUGGAAGCGUCUGGAAAGGCGCGCGAUACAGGGUGACAGCCCCGUACACAAAAAUGCACAUGCUGUGAGCUCGAUGAGUAGGGCGGGACACGUGGUAUCCUGUCUGAAUAUGGGGGGACCAUCCUCCAAGGCUAAAUACUCCUGACUGACCGAUAGUGAACCAGUACCGUGAGGGAAAGGCGAAAAGAACCCCGGCGAGGGGAGUGAAAAAGAACCUGAAACCGUGUACGUACAAGCAGUGGGAG